CGCUGGCGGCGUGCCUAAUACAUGCAAGUCGAACGGUCUUUCUAUGGAAGCCUGCUUCCACUGAGAAGAUAGUGGCGAACGGGUGAGUAACACGUGGGUAACCUGCCCAUAAGAGGGGGGAUAACAUCCGGAAACGGGUGCUAAUACCGCAUAGUUUCCUUGAUCGCAUGAUCGGGAAAGGAAAGACGGCCUUUGUGUUGUCGCUUAUGGAUGGACCCGCGGCGUAUUAGUUAGUUGGUGAGGUAACGGCUCACCAAGACGAUGAUACGUAGCCGACCUGAGAGGGUGAUCGGCCACAUUGGGACUGAGACACGGCCCAAACUCCUACGGGAGGCAGCAGUAGGGAAUCUUCCGCAAUGGACGAAAGUCUGACGGAGCAACGCCGCGUGAGUGAAAGAAGGUUUUCGGAUCGUAAAACUCUGUUGUCAGAGAAGAACAAGUUGGAGAGUAACUGCUCCAGCCUUGACGGUAUCUGACCAGAAAGCCACGGCUAACUACGUGCCAGCCGCCGC
rnacentral:rRNA from 1 species